UUCGAAACUGGCAGGCUAGAGUCUUGUAGAGGGGGGUAGAAUUCCAGGUGUAGCGGUGAAAUGCGUAGAGAUCUGGAGGAAUACCGGUGGCGAAGGCGGCCCCCUGGACAAAGACUGACGCUCAGGUGCGAAAGCGUGGGGAGCAAACAGGAUUAGAUACCCUGGUAGUCCACGCCGUAAACGAUGUCGAUUUGGAGGUUGUGCCCUUGAGGCGUGGCUUCCGGAGCUAACGCGUUAAAUCGACCGCCUGGGGAGUACGGCCGCAAGGUUAAAACUCAAAUGAAUUGACGGGGGCCCGCACAAGCGGUGGAGCAUGUGGUUUAAUUCGAUGCAACGCGAAGAACCUUACCUGGUCUUGACAUCCACAGAACUUUCCAGAGAUGGAUUGGUGCCUUCGGGAACUGUGAGACAGGUGCUGCAUGGCUGUCGUCAGCUCGUGUUGUGAAAUGUUGGGUUAAGUCCCGCAACGAGCGCAACCC
rnacentral:rRNA from 1 species